CAGGUUUUAAACUUUCAUUGUAGCAGCUUCAUAUUGAGGAUUUGACAAGUUCUUUAGUGCAACUACUGAUACAGUGCAAGUGAGUGGACGGAUCGAAGAGUUUUAACUGGAAGAUCGGCGACUGACUGCGGCUACUGAUACAGUCUAUAGACACAGUACAACUACUGAUACAGUGCAAGUGAGUGGACGGAUCGAAGAGUUUUAACUGGAAGAUCGGCGACUGACUGUGGCUACUGAUACAGUCUAUAGAUACAGUACAACUACUGAUACAGUGCAAGUGAGUGGACGGAUCGAAGAGUUUUAACUGGAAGAUCGGCGACUGACUGUGGCUACUGAUACAGUCUAUAGAUACAGUACAACUACUGAUACAGUGCAAGUGAGUGGACGGAUCGAAGAGUUUUAACUGGAAGAUCGGCGACUGACUGCGGCUACUGAUACAGUCUAUAGACACAGUACAAAUCAACCAACAUUAGCAUGGCAAAAAAAAGACCACGGGAAGUUACUGACUUCGAUGACAUUGGUAAUGAUCCAAUCCCAAGUGCAACUAUUCGAUGUGUAUUAACUUCCUUAUCACCAAUCAAGAAAGGCCGAAAGAGCAAAUAUUUUGAUGGAAAUGCAAGUGAUGGUAAGCAGACAUGUCGAUUGUUAUCAUUUUCGGAAAGACAGCUGGAUAUUUUGAAGAAGUUCAAGGGUGCCAAAGAGACUGUGGAGAUCAGGGACUGUCAGGUAAAGAGAGCAAUGAGGGGAGACAGAAUGGAAAUUGUAUUGAAGUCCAGCAGUGAAAUUGCACACAGCUCAAAACAACUCGACACUACAAACAUUGACUUUGAUGAUGGUGUUGUCCCAGAAAUAUUAAUUGCAGCAUUAGAAGAUAGAUGUGUUUUUGAUGUAGUGACGAUCCGUGUAAAGGUCCAUCAAGUUUGCCAAAGAGAGUUUCUUGACGGUGGUUACAUCAAGCAAGAUGUCAGCGUUUCAGAUGGCAGUGGUGUUGGACGGGUCACAGUGUGGGGAGAUUUCGUUGGAACAGUGUUUGUAGGAGAGUGCUAUUUGUUUUCCGGAUUUAUGGUUAAAGAAUUUAGUGGCAACAAAUAUCUGAGUAUGCGUAAGAACGGAUCAACGAUUGAGAAGGUGGAUGACAUUGGGCAAGUAAUGAAGUUGGAUACAGACAAUAUCACUACAGAUGGACAGAUAAUGAAUGCUACUGUUGUUUGCGUGAUGGAGUUCCUAUCGAAGAAGGUUUGUAUUUUGUGCAAUGGUUAUGGUGUAUU